rnacentral:misc_RNA from 1 species
AAAACAUUAGCAAGAUGAUAGUAACAUACCCAAUUUUGUGCUCAAUCUGACUACAUCUUACGAAAAUAUAAAGCUAAUAUCCUAAGGAACAUAGAUGUUUACAUUCAUACUACCUCCCCUUUGAGCCAAAUUUUGAGCAGCCUCUACAUGUUGACUACUCAUGGCGCUUUUGCAGUCUCACGAACAAUGGAAAGUUUGGCCAAAAGACCG